AAUCCAGGAAGCUGCUCUUUAGUAAUCAGAGGACACCUAGAAACCAAGUCGGCCAAUCCUUUUCAAAGUCGGCAUGUGGAGUGCAAGCCACAACAUGCGCCUUUACCUGGGGGGUUAUGUUCGUUGAGAAUCACCAGUGAUGCCGGUGUAGGUCUUCUUUUCCUGAUCUGUGAACAACAAAGGCCCAGCUAAGGUCAGUGAGAGUCAGACAACGCUCCAGGUUACCCUACAGAUUGCAAAGCUGUUUCAUCCUCAACUGUUCCCAACACACAAAAGAGCUUGCUCUUAGGACACUUUCUUUCAAAACCUAAGGGCAGUGAGAAGUCCAAGUGACAAGAAGAGGUCAUAUGUUGACUCCAGACAACAGCCCCAGGGAAGGCCAGCUUUUGAGUCAUCAUAGCCAUCCCCUGGGACAUCUGAGUGAAGAAGCCUCCAGAUGAGUCCAUGAGUCCAGCCCCCAGCCAUAUGAGUCACCUCCGGCUGUUUGUGUGUUCUAGCUGAGGCCCCAGAUAGCAUGGAGUUGUCCUCACUGUACCCUGUCUGAAUUCUUGACUUGCAGGAUUUGGC